rnacentral:rRNA from 1 species
GACGAACGCUGGCGGCGUGCCUAAUACAUGCAAGUUGAGCGCUGAAGGUUGGUACUUGUACCAACUGGAUGAGCAGCGAACGGGUGAGUAGCGCGUGGGGAAUCUGCCUUUGAGCGGGGGACAACAUUUGGAAACGAAUGCUAAUACCGCAUAAAAACUUUAAACACAAGUUUUAAGUUUGAAAGAUGCAAUUGCAUCACUCAAAGAUGAUCCCGCGUUGUAUUAGCUAGUUGGUGAGGUAAAGGCUCACCAAGGCGAUGAUACAUAGCCGACCUGAGAGGGUGAUCGGCCACAUUGGGACUGAGACACGGCCCAAACUCCUACGGGAGGCAGCAGUAGGGAAUCUUCGGCAAUGGACGAAAGUCUGACCGAGCAACGCCGCGUGAGUGAAGAAGGUUUUCGGAUCGUAAAAAUCUGUUGGUAGAGAAGAACGUUGGUGAGAGUGGAAAGCUCAUCAAGUGACGGUAACUACCCAGAAAGGGACGGCUAACUACGUG